UGGGGUAGGGUAAAAUCCCGGUAUCCUAGAAGGACCCCCGGGGCGAAGGCGUCUGACUAGAACGAAUUCGACGGUGAGGAACGAAGCCCUGGGGCGCAAACGGGAUUAGAUACCCCGGUAGUCCAGGGUGUAAACGCUGCGGUCUUGGUGUUNGGGGGUCCUUAGUGGGCGCCCAGUGCCGGAGAGAAGUUGUUAAGCCUGCUGCUUGGGGAGUAUGUCCGCAAGGAUGAAACUUAAAGGAAUUGGCGGGGGAGCACCGCAACGGGAGGAGCGUGCGGUUCAAUUGGAUUCAACGCCGGACAACUCACCAGGAGCGACGAUCACAUGAAAGCCAGGCUGAUGACCUUGCUUGAUUCUUCGAGAGGUGGUGCAUGGCCGUCGUCAGUUCGUACCGUAAGGCGUUCUCUUAAGUGAGAUAACGAACGAGACCCUCACCGUUAAUUUCUAGCAUUCUCUCCGGAGGGUGCGCACAUUAACGGGACCGCUGCCGCUAAGACAGAGGAAGGAGAGGUCAACGGUAGGUCCGUAUGCCCCGAAUCUCCUGGGCUACACGCGCGCUACAAAGGUUGGGACAAUGGGUUCCUACAUCGAAAGGUGACGGCAAUCUCGAAACCCAACCGUAGUUCGGAUUGAGGGCUGUAACUCGCCCUCAUGAAGCUGGAUUCCGUAGUAAUCGCUUGUCAACAUCAAGCGGUGAAUAUGCCCCUGCUCCUUGCACACACCGCCCGUCAAACCA
rnacentral:rRNA from 1 species